rnacentral:rRNA from 1 species
UACGUAGGGGGCAAGCGUUGUCCGGAAUUCUUGGGCGUAAAGAGCGUGUAGGCGGUCCGGUAAGUCAGCUGUGAAAGUCAAGGGCUCAACCCUUGAAUGCCGGUUGAUACUGUCGGGCUAGAGUCCGGAAGAGGCGAGUGGAAUUCCCGGUGUAGCGGUGAAAUGCGCAGAUAUCGGGAGGAACACCAAUGGCGAAGGCAGCUCGCUGGGACGGUACUGACGCUGAGACGCGAAAGCGUGGGGAGCAAACAGG